CAGUUGGAUAUCCAAAGAUGUUUUAUCAUCAGUAACAGGCCAACCUCCCGAAGAUGCAUAAAGACACCUUUGCCGUUGACCAGGCAGACCCUGCAUCCACAGGACAUAGAGAGAAAGGUGCUCCCUGAACACUGAUCUGGAUAAGCAUUGCUGGGUCAGUGCAGAGGCGUCCAUUUCCCCAGUCUGCCGAGCUGGCCUAAAGCUGAGGACCUCUUAGUGGGAGCUGAGGACAUGUGCCUGAAGAGGCAAGCCCUUGACUGAUGGAAAUUGGAGUCUGAGUUCCAUGUGGGGGACUGGGAAGCACAGCAAGGUCUGAAAUGGGAGACCCAGGGAAGGGCAGAGAGGACCAAAGGAGGAAGGGGGUCUACAGUGUGGGAAACAGCCUGGACGCAACAGCCGGGGGAGGAGGCCUGCUCUGGCCCCAGUGGCCCCUUGUAAGCAGGAAAGGCAGCUGGCUAGACCUCUUCUGUGUUAUUCACUCUGAUUUUAUCCUUUAUCUUCCCCUCCCAACCUCACCUCCUUUCUAACCCCA
rnacentral:lncRNA from 1 species